CUUUAGCCCCGAUAGCAGUGAAAAUCCUCUAGACUCGUGACCAAACGAGGCUAGAGAUUACUUCGUCAGUUCGCUUCGCUCGGGUGUAGCGGAUAGAGGGACGAUGA
rnacentral:misc_RNA from 1 species